AGAAUCAACGCUGGCGGCGUGCCUAACACAUGCAAGUCGAACGAGAAAGUGGAGCAAUCCAUGAGUAAAGUGGCGCACGGGUGAGUAACACGUGACUAACCUACCCUUGAGUGGGGGAUAACCUAGGGAAACCUGGGCUAAUACCGCAUAAUACCGAGAGGUCAAAGGAGCAAUUCGCUUAAGGAGGGGUCGCGGCCGAUUAGUUAGUUGGCGGGGUAAUGGCCCACCAAGACUGUGAUCGGUA
rnacentral:rRNA from 1 species